UGAGUGCAUCUUUGAAUCAUUCCUGGCAUGGCAUUUUUUCAACAUCGUUCUUCUGGCAGUGGCAUGUCGUCUUUGGAUUUUGGAUGUCCUUCUUUGGAUGUGGUUGACGUUUAAUCGUUGUCUUGAAAAAGCCGAAGGAGAAUCGAACCGGGAUCUUUCUCAUAGUGGGUACCGCACUACCCACUACACGACAUCUCCUCCCUUAUUUGAUUUGAACUUUCUCAAUAAUAUUUCAUCAUGCAUGUUUAUCUUAUCAAUCGUUUCAAUUAAAGUUCUAAUUCGCUUA